rnacentral:rRNA from 1 species
UACGGAGAGGGCUAGCGUUGUUCGGAAUUACUGGGCGUAAAGGGUACGUAGGCGGUUUAGUAAGUUAGGAGUGAAAUCCUGGGGCUUAACCUCAGAAUUGCUUUUAAAACUACUAUACUAGAGGUCGAAAGAGGAUAGUGGAAUUCCUAAUGUAGAGGUAAAAUUCGUAGAUAUUGGGAAGAACACCGGUGGCGAAGGCGGCGACCUGGUCCUUUUACUGACGCUGAGGCGCGAAAGCGUGGGGAGCAAACAGG